AAAACUAUUGUCCUUAGUGCUGAUUAUGCCAUGUUUCUAUAUCAAGUGCUCAUACCUGAGCUUCUAGCAGCAUUGAUUCCCUUUUUAAUGUUCAUUCUAUAUAAAAAUCAAAAUCGAUUUCUUGUUUCGAAUAAUCGAUUGUAACUUCGAGACCACACCAUUUGCUAUUUUAGGUUAAACAGAAUUUGAUAUAAGGAAGAAGCAGUUUUCCCUUCAAGUUCGGCAUGGCUUGUGAUGGAAGGAAAAUUUAUCCGUUAUUUUUGAAAUAGUACAUUCCUUUAAUUAGUGGGAUAGAAAAUGAUGGACGAGGCAUGCCUUUGGAAGGCAUCUUAUAUCAUACUUGAAAUACAUAUAUCUUGGCAGGAUCUUUAGGAGUUGUACAUGUAAUUUGAACUAAAAUGGAUUGUGCUUUAUUUACGUUUUUGUAUAAAAAUACGAUGCAUGUCAGCACAAUUUGCAAAUACGUUUUACUUCCAACCGCGCAUGCAAGAUGGAAUAUAUGAUGCUCUGC